UCCAUUGGUUUAGCGGCGGACGGGUGAGUAACACGUGGGCAACCUGCCCUGCAGAUCGGGAUAACUCCGGGAAACCGGUGCUAAUACCGAAUAGUUUUUUGCCCCUCCUGGGGCGAAACGGAAAGACGGUUUCGGCUGUCACUGCAGGAUGGGCCCGCGGCGCAUUAGCUAGUUGGUGGGGUAAUGGCCCACCAAGGCGACGAUGCGUAGCCGACCUGAGAGGGUGAUCGGCCACACUGGGACUGAGACACGGCCCAGACUCCUACGGGAGGCAGCAGUAGGGAAUCUUCCGCAAUGGACGCAAGUCUGACGGAGCAACGCCGCGUGAGUGACGAAGGUUUUCGGAUCGUAAAACUCUGUUGUGAGGGAAGAACAAGUACCAACUAACUACUGGUACCUUGACGGUACCUCACCAGAAAGCCACGGCUAACUACGUGCCAGCAGCCGCGGUAAUACGUAGGUGGCAAGCGUUGUCCGGAAUUAUUGGGCGUAAAGCGCGCGCAGGCGGUCCCUUAAGUCUGAUGUGAAAGCCCACGGCUCAACCGUGGAGGGUCAUUGGAAACUGGGGGACUUGAGUGCAGAAGAGGAAAGUGGAAUUCCACGUGUAGCGGUGAAAUGCGUAGAGAUGUGGAGGAACACCAGUGGCGAAGGCGACUUUC
rnacentral:rRNA from 1 species